CAAAAACAUGUCCUUUUGUUUAUUAAUUUAAGGUCUAGCCUGCCCAAUGAGGAAUUGAAUGGCCGCAGUAUAUUAACUGUGCUAAGGUAGCGUAAUCAUUUGUCUUUUAAUUGAGGGCUGGAAUGAAGGGUUGGACGAGGUAUUGGCUUUCUUUUAUUCAGUUUGAAGAAUUUAAUUUUUGAGUUAAAAAGCUUAAAUUUAUUUAUGGGACGAGAAGACCCUAUAGAUCUUUAUAGUUCUAAUAUUUUAAUAAUUUAGGGAUUUAUAUAUUUGGGGUAAAUGAACUAUUUUGUUGGGGUGACUGUAGAAUUUGAGUAACUUCUAUUAUGUAUUUUCAUUAAUUAGUGUUUUUUUGAUCCAUAAUUUAUGAUUAGAAGAUUAAGUUACCUUAGGGAUAACAGCGUAAUUUCCUCGGAGAGUUCAUAUUGAUGAGGGGGUUUGCGACCUCGAUGUUGGAUUAAAAUGAGUUAUGGAUGCAGGAGUCUAUUUACUAGGUCUGUUCGACCUUUAAAUUUUUACAUGAUCUGAGUUCAAACCGGAGA
rnacentral:rRNA from 1 species